GGGUGGCCCCGGGGGGUCCUGCUGCGGCGCCUGGAGGCCGAGCUGCAGCGCCUGCACCACGAAGGGUCACGGUUCGGGGCAGACAUGGCGGCGCAGGAGACCGAGCUCCGGGCUGAGAUUGCUCGCCUGCUGGUGGGGCUCGGCACCCCAGAGCCCCCUCGCGAGUGACCCGGACGCCUGGGUCCCCCCGUCCCAGUGGGACCUGGACGCCUAGGUCCCCAUUCCCUGAGGGUGACCCGUACACCUGGGUCUUCCCAUCCCCAUGGGACCCAGACACCUGGGUCUCUGUUCCCUGUGGGUGACCAGGACACCUGGGGUCCCCCCAAAAUCUGGGACCAAGCACCCGAGGAACCCAGGCAUCUGGGACCCAGGUGUCCGAGGGACCCAGGCGUCCGAGGGACCCAGCCGUCUGGGACCCAGGUGUCUGAGGGACCCAGGUGUCCGAGGGACCCAGGUGUCUGAGGGACCCAGGUGUCUGGGCCCCACCUCCCUCGACCACCAUUAAACCUUGCUGUGUGGACC